GUUACUGUGUUAUGACUGGACCACAUAAGUAGGAAAAAAGAAUGUGCAUGAAUACUGUUUUAAAUAUUACAAUAAUCAUCAGUAAAAUGAUGUGUCAUUCAACCUCAUACUUCAUAGUCAAGAUGAUCGCUGACCUUAAUUACUGUAUAUCUUUUGUGUUUUUGUCUUCCAAAUUUCAAAUAUUUUCCUUGUGUUUUUAUACCACGUCUGACAUUCUUACAAUGAGUGCCCAUAGGAUGUCAUUGCAUUUCACCACCAAACCUACAAACUACAUUUGUGGCCCAUGACAUUGCCAAACACAAAUACCCUCUACCGCAAAGUUGACCACUUAGUAUCUGCGAGUGAUCAGACGCCAACAUUAACAGUGUUAGCUAAAAUGAAUACAGUAUGUGCAAAUACUGCAGUCCCGCUUACCUUUUAUUUUGGAUGUACUUGUGAUUCAGCCAUUGCUUGAAAGUGGCUCUUUCGCUCAGGAACUCCAGCUACCAAAUCAUUGGCUGAGAAACUCAGUGUGGCGUAAGGUCAUUUUCCUCAAGGAAACGCAUUAAAAAAAAAGCUUUUUAAUGCAUACUGUGUAGAUUUUUUCAACGCCACCUAGUGGCAAACUAAUAGAAUGCAACGACUUCAGUUCAACUCGUGCGCAUUUUGAAACACGUGCAUGACAGUGCCUCAGAGAGAAUAUGCAAUAUCUUUGCAAGAUUACCACCGAUUUCUUUAGCAGAGGUUCAAGCAAAAUGUCAUCACAAAUGACGCCUGGUUAGUAUUCCCUCAAACAGCAAAUUAUGUAUAAUACUUUUGUUACACACGCUGGUAGUCAUUGAUCCAGAGUAUUUGUGAGUGGCUGGUGUCUCUUUUGGAUAUCUGUAGGAGGAAGAUGGUGGCAAAACAUGUCAGAGUCCUGUAAGGUGAGGUACGACCCAUCUCUACUAAUUAGUGAUUACUCGACCUACGAUUAUAUUCAUUCAUUCAUCUUCCGAACCGCUUGAUCCUCACUAGGGUCGCGGGGGGUGCUGGAGCCUAUCCCAGCUGUCUCCGGGCAGUAGGCGGAGGACACCCUGAAUCAGUUGCAAGCCAAUCACAGAGCACACAGAGACGAACAACCAUCCACGCUCACACUCACACCUAGGGACAAUUUAGAGUGUUCAAUCAGCCUGCCACGCAUGUUUUUGGAAUGUGGGAGGAAACCGGAGGACCCGGCGAAAACCCACGCAGGCCCGGGGAGAACAUGCAAACUCCACACAGGGAGGCCGGAGCUGGAAUCGAACCCGGUACCUCUGCACUGUGAAGCCGACGUGCUAACCACUGGACUACCGGGCCGCCCACGAUUAUAUAUAUAUUUUUAAAAGUAUGUUGACCUGUGUAAUAGAUUUUUUUUGCAUGUUAUUGAAAUUAAUAAUGUUUUUUAAAAUGAACAUUGAAAGAUCAAAAUAAAUCAACACAUUGUGCGUUUAAAUAAAUAAAACUAUACCUUGCAUUUAUAAAACUAACAAAAAUGUCCUUUUUUGUAGGUUAAUAUGCAAGAGCUUUCUGCGUUUCUUUUAAAUGUAUUUGUCUCAGUAUUAGUGCAAAUCCGUACAGAAGGAAAGACAAAAAAUUAUUUGAGAAUUGUAGUUUACUAUACUACACAAUACUUAGUGACUUAAAAAAUAUUUUAGAUUUGCACUAAAAAUGCCAUAUAAUAAAAUACUAAAACCAAUAAAAAUGAAAUAAACAAAUCCAUUUUGAAAAAAAAUAAACUUGCUGUAACUAACUAAAAGUAACUGAGUUUGAAAAUCAAAAGUCAAAAGUUAACUAAUGAAAAAUUCAAAAUUAAAGUACGGUAACCCUGGCGUGACUGUAUUAUUUUACACCGUUACGUAACAAUAGAGCAGGAAUGCCGAACGAUUUGCUCACAGGCACAUUUUCUGAACCAAGCAUGUUCUUAAAAAUUGACAGAGAUAUUUAAUUUCAGACUUGAUGGUUAGGCUGGCACUCAAGAGCCUCAUCUAUUUGCAUAAAAGCCAUUAAAAUAAAAGUUUGACUUCCAUACGACUGUGCACCUCAAUUUAUCGCAGAGGCUACGUCACAGACGCAUACACUUUAAAUACAUUUUAAUUCAUGCAAACACACCAAAAGGCCCUGCAGAGUGGAAUCAGAUUUUUUUUUCAAUACAUACAUGUUUGGAAAUAAUUGCUGAAAACAUGCACAGACUGCCAACUAUGUAGAGAUCAAGGACAAGAGUCGCCCCUCGCCUACUGUAUAAACGAAUUGAGAGUCUUCAUUCACAUCAGCAGUUAUCUGGAGCACUGUUGACACACAAUUAGCUAGCGAGAUAUGCCUACAUCCCAAAUUCCUAAUAGGUGGCUGCUCUCAAGUGUGUACUGUUUGGCUGUGAGUGUUCACAUGUUAUGUAGCAAAGGUGAAAGAUAAGAAAAUGUUUUAAAAAAUCAAACGUGAUAUUCAACGUGUGCCCUGGGGCUUUGCGCUGGUGUGACUGCGUGACUUCUUUUUGUGUUUUUAAUCAUUCAAAUUUGGCAAGGUUACCAUCAACAUUCUUAUCUAUCUGUGGUGUGUGAAAUUUAGAUUUAU